AUGGAUGCGACGGUGUCACGCCGUGGUUUCGGGACGAUUGGAGUUAUCUACAUGGACCAACAAGGUGGCUAUAUGGGCACUUCUGCCAUUGUUUUCAGAUAUAUUUCGGACCCAACAAUGCUUGAAGCAUUGGCAGUUAGAGAAGCUAUGGAUCUAGCCGAUGAUCUCUAUGCCCAAAGAAUUCAUGUGGCAUCGGACUGCAAGGUGGUGGUUGACGACAUUCAGGAGAAAAACUUGUCGAGUUAUGGGACUAUAGUUCAAGAGAUUAUAAGCCAUUCUCUUUCCUUUACUUUAUGUAAUAUAGUUCAUGAACGUAGGAGCUCAAACUUUGAAGCUCACAAUUUAGUGAAGCAUGCACUUACCCUGGGAGCUGGCCGCCAUGUUUGGCUGGGGCAUCCAGGGAAUCCUAUGUCUGUCCCUGUAAACAUUGUGAUGAAUUAA
rnacentral:rRNA from 1 species